rnacentral:rRNA from 1 species
GACGAACGCUGGCGGCGUGCUUAACACAUCCAAGUCGUACGGUAAGGCCCUUUCGGGGGUACACGAGUGGCGAACGGGUGAGUAACACGCGAGUAACCUGCCCACCACUUUGGGAUAACGCUAGGAAACUGGUGCUAAUACUGGAUAUGUGCUCCUGCCGCAUGGAGGGGGUUGGAAAGCUCCGGCGGUUGUGGAUGGAUUCGCGGGCUAUCUGCUUGCUGGUGGGGUAGUGGGCUACCAAGGCGGGGGCGGGUAGGCGGCCUGGGGGGGUGAGCGGCCACAAUGGGGCUGGAGUAACGCCCAGGCUUCUACGGGGGGGCAGAGGGGGGAAUAAUGGAAAAUUGGCGGGAGCCUGGUGCAGGAACGCCGCGGGCGGGAAGACCGGCUUCGGGUUGGAAACCGCUUUCAGCAGGGACGAAGCUGUGUGUGACGGUACCUGCAGAAGAAGCACCGGCUAACUACGUG